UGUCUCCUUCAGCCAAUCAGGGAAGCCAUUCUUGUUGCCACCCUAUCCCUCUGGGAUAGGGAAGAAAAUCCCAACUGUAUGUCACAUGUUCUCUGCAGCCAAUCAGAGAAGCCAUUGUUGUUGCCACAUGUCCUCUCUGUCAGAUCCCGCUACCGAGAUAGUAUCACAACACAAGCAACAUUUUUAGGGACAAAAAGCAUUGCUGACGGGCCCCAUAGCUUUAGGAUGAAGGUACGGGUUCUCCUCUGGGCCGCACCUAUCCCUGUGACAGACUAGUGUCUGGGCUCCCUCUGUUGGAUGCUCUCCAGUCAGGGGCGUCUCAACUGUACCCAAGGAAAGGUCAUAUUUCUAUGCAGGGCAGAUUUUUGGGGAUCCCAUGAGUGAGAUCGCGAUCAGCUUAUUAUUAUCAUCAGAUCCUUGUAACAAAAAGGAAUUGUCCAAAAUGAAUAAUCCUUCAAAAAGUCAAUUCAUUUGGAGGAGCUCUUUAAAGAUAAUUUCAGGGAAGUAUAGGAAGCAUGAGAAAAUAAUUUCAGUGAUAGAAUUGCCAUCAGAAUGGUCACAAAUCGACGCCUGCCACAUCUUCUCAAACAGUAGAAGGCUUUGCAAAAGACAAAAAAAAAAUGGUGUCCCAUUAAGAACCCAGCAGCCUUAGAACCCACCAAGUUAGAACAUCCUACAUUAAAAAAGAGGUUUGAUCGAAAGACUAAAGUUAAGAAAGGAAACAAGUCUGAAAUGGAGGCCUAAUCCCUCAUUGUUGUAGAAGAAAGACGGAGAAUAAUUGAUGAUGCGCAAUUUCUGGAUCAAUGUUGCUACAUGCUCCGGGGUGGAGAUGUGUUGUCUGAAAACGCUCAAAUUAGAAAGGUUCCUUGUGUCCGGAUGAGAAGGACACUUUCUGUAAACUACUUUGGUGUUAAAUGUCUUAUUAUUUUAAUCAUUUCCUUUCUUUGAUUUUCUUUCCAAAUUAUAGUAACAACCGACUUACAUAGAACAUCCGUAUUCUGGUCUGGUGGGAGACUUUGAUGUCAAGGAUAGUUUUUUAAUAUGGAGUUACCCUACCUUUCUAAUUUAAAGGGGUAUUCCGCCCUUAGACAUGUUAUCCCCUAUCCAAAACAUGUCUGAUCGCGGAGGGUCCGGCCACUGGGAUCUCCCGCGAUCUCCGGGCCCGGCACAGCGGCGUUACAUUCAAGGAAGCCUGGGGCUUCCGUGAUCGUGACAUCACACCACGCCCCCUCCAAUCGUAGACAUGAAUGGAGGAGGAGUGGCGGCAGCGAUAGCCAGUCAUCCGGCAAGGAGCAGAAUUCGCUCCGUGUACCGAAUGAAUGGGGUGUUGUGGCAGAGAUCGCAGGGGUCCCCAGUGGCCAGA